rnacentral:lncRNA from 1 species
GGAAAAAACAUGUUUUGUCGGGGCUCAGGAGAGGACUGCCAGAUUCUGCUCAGCACAGGCACUCUCAUAGCCCAAAUGGACCAAGACACCUGCUGUUCCUUACUUGUUUGUCUGCUGCUCUGAAAGGACAAUCAAUGCGAAGACAAAUGUGUUUACCUUGAGGAGGCUAGAAACAUACAAAAUGCCUGCUGAGCUCAAAUGUGUGGACUUGCUUCCUCCCCAUAAGGAAGCAGGACCCUCUGGUCUGAACUAUAAACUGAGCUCAAUUGUUGCAGGGGAAACUGCAGUGAAGGCGAAACACAUGUCUGAGUCACAGAAGCACACAGAUUAAGAAGUUUGAUAAAUCAGGUGACUGUGAACAACACAGACUUUAAGCCCUCAAUUCCACUUUUAGACUGUGACGGCGGAGGUAUGGACUCACCCAACCUGACGUUGUAAGAGAAGGGAGACAGAGCAAGAGACAUGGAGAAGAAUUUCCCUGGGCCUUGAACAUGCACAGGAGCAGAAGUUCAGGAUCAGUGAUGCCAGGUCGGAGAUAAGAAGUAGAUGCCAAGAAAUAGAGCUGAAGAAACCAAGGCAUAGAAAGUUUGAAUCUUGGACCCACGAUCACAUAGGAAAUCAGAGGAAACAACAGAAAGCUUGGACGUGCUCUGCCUCUAUCCCUCUCUGUCAGCAGCUCUUGCCAGAGCCCAGUGAUGCUGGUAUGCUAAUCCCAGACUCCACAACUAAACCCAUCAGAUUCAAGUUCUCUGGAUGGUGCUCGCCCAACACCUAUGGACAGGCACAAUAUUUCAAUGGUUUCAAGAAGGUAUCCUGGGAGAAGUGAACUGAAAUAUGGAGGAUGCCUUGGAAGAGGAAGGAGCUAGAAGAGAGCAUGGUGAAGUCUGUGGCCAGAGUGCUGUGGAUGGAGAAGGGAUGGAAGGAGGGAAUUCAGAAUUUCAGCGUCCCAGGAAAGCUUCGGUGUGCUAAAAGAGAAUGGAAGCAUUGAGAGCGUUUCACACGGCUCAGGAACCCUCCAAGAGGCGACGCCAGUUCUCCACGACAGUUACCUGUUCAACGGAACUUAACUAACACACCUGUGUAUCAUCCCUGCAACAUACACGGUAAUGAUUUCCUAUUUCUUUGUGGAAAACACAGCUGUUCCAGACUCUUCACAUGUAUCUAGUCCUCCCAAGUCCCAG